GAACCUGGGGAUAACUGCUGGAUGACGCACAUAUGCUGGAAUGCUUUAUGCGUCAAAUGGAUUCGUCUGCCCAGGAUGGGUCUGCGGCGUAUCAGGUAGUAGUAGGUGUAGUGUACCUACUAGCUACGACGGGUACGGGUUGUGAGAGCAAGAGCCCGGAGAUGGAUUCUGAGACAUGAAUCCAGCCCCUACGUGGCGCAGCAGGCGCGAACACUUUACAAUGCGAGACACUGUGAUAAGGGGACACCGAGUGCCAGCAUCAUAUGCUGGCUGCCCGGGUGUGUAAAAUACACCUGUUAGCAAGGGCCGGGCAAGACCGGUGCCAGCCGCCGCGGUAACACCGGCGGCCCGAGUGGUGAUCGUGAUUAUUGGGUCUAAAGGGUCCGUAGCCGGUUUGGUCAGUCCUCCGGGAAAUCUGACGGCUUAACCGUUAGGCUUUCGGAGGAUACUGCCAGGCUUGGAACCGGGAGAGGUAAGAGGUACUACAGGGGUAGGAGUGAAAUCUUGUAAUCCCUGUGGGACCACCUGUGGCGAAGGCGUCUUACCAGAACGGGUUCGACGGUGAGGGACGAAAGCUGGGGGCACGAACCGGAUUAGAUACCCGGGUAGUCCCAGCCGUAAACGAUGCUCGCUAGGUGUCAGGCAUGGCGCGACCGUGUCUGGUGCCGUAGGGAAGCCGUGAAGCGAGCCACCUGGGAAGUACGGCCGCAAGGCUGAAACUUAAAGGAAUUGGCGGGGGAGCACAACAACGGGUGGAGCCUGCGGUUUAAUUGGACUCAACGCCGGGAAUCACUAGUGAAU
rnacentral:rRNA from 1 species